rnacentral:rRNA from 1 species
UACGAGGGGUCCUAGCGUUGUUCGGAAUCACUGGGCGUAAAGCGUAUGUAGGCGGCUCUGUAAGUCGGGUGUGAAAGCCCUGGGCUCAACCCAGGAAGUGCACUCGAUACUGCAGAGCUUGAAUAUGAAAGAGGGUAGUGGAAUUCCAGGUGUAGUGGUGAAAUACGUAGAUAUCUGGAGGAACUCCGGUGGCGAAGGCGGCUACCUGGUUCAAUAUUGACGCUGAGAUACGAAAGCGUGGGGAUCAAACAGG